GGUCUGCCGCUGCCUGCCAUAAUUCUGAACGGAAGAAACUUGCUGGCAUCAGCAGCAGAGGCAUGAGGGAAGACGCAGUUGCAGACCAACAGUGGCAGUGGCAGAAGCAGCAGCAGCAGCAGCAGCAGCAGUGUGACCAUUAAUACUCAAUUGGCUGUGCUUCCCGUGUGGACUGUGGUCGUGGUCGUGGUAUCCUCCCUCUCUAUCUCUAUCUAUCUCUGUCACGCUCUCUCUCUCUCUUUCUCCUUCUCUCUCCCACUAUCUAUUCCAGGGCUUUCUCUACUUGGUUGGCUGCCGUCAUCUUUGUCGUCUUGUGCUGACACUUGAAUUGAAUCGAAAUUGGUUAUUAGCAAUUCUUACGACCGACGACAGAGUGCGGCAUGGAGUACACAUACAUAUAUAUAUAUAUAUAUAUAUGUAGGGCCGGUGUAGGAUGUUACUUGCAUCACUUGAAAAGCGAAUAUGUUGAAAAAAUCAAGUUGUCCGAGUCGUGUGUAGGUUGUAGUUCUGAAAAUGGCAAAGGCUCUUUGGUAUCCAGUGACCUGUAAGCCAUGUAAAAUGUUUAAAUAUUCCGCCUUAGAUUUGGCAUGAAGCAACUUAAAUAUUUUUUAUGGAAAUAU
rnacentral:lncRNA from 1 species